GACGAACGCUGGCGGCGUGCUUAACACAUGCCAGUCGAACGGAAAGGCCCUGCUUUUGUGGGGUGCUCGAGUGGCGAACGGGUGAGUAACACGUGAGUAACCUGCCCUUGACUUUGGGAUAACUUCAGGAAACUGGGGCUAAUACCGGAUAGGAGCUCCUGCUGCAUGGUGGGGGUUGGAAAGUUUCGGCGGUUGGGGAUGGACUCGCGGCUUAUCAGCUUGUUGGUGGGGUAGUGGCUUACCAAGGCUUUGACGGGUAGCCGGCCUGAGAGGGUGACCGGCGAAAUUGGGACUGAGAUACGGCCCAGACUCCUACGGGAGGCAGCAGUGGGGAAUAUUGCACAAUGGGCGGAAGCCUGAUGCAGCAACGCCGCGUGCGGGAUGACGGCCUUCGGGUUGUAAACCGCUUUCGCCUGUGACGAAGCGUGAGUGACGGUAAUGGGUAAAGAAGCACCGGCUAACUACGUG
rnacentral:rRNA from 1 species